rnacentral:rRNA from 1 species
GGCGGCGUGCCUAUUACAUGCAAGUCGAGCGCGGGAAGCAAGCAGAACCCCUUCGGGGGUGACGCAUGUGGAACGAGCGGCGGACGGGUGAGUAACACGUGGGCAACCUGCCUGUAAGACUGGGAUAACUCCGGGAAACCGGGGCUAAUACCGGAUAAUACGUUUUCUUGCAUAAGGAGACGUUAAAAGGCGGCGCAAGCUGUCACUUACAGAUGGGCCCGCGGCGCAUUAGCUAGUUGGUGGGGUAAAAGCCUACCAAGGCGACGAUGCGUAGCCGACCUGAGAGGGUGAUCGGCCACACUGGGACUGAGACACGGCCCAGACUCCUACGGGAGGCAGCAGUAGGGAAUCUUCCGCAAUGGACGAAAGUCUGACGGAGCAACGCCGCGUGAGUGAAGAAGGUUUUCGGAUCGUAAAACUCUGUUGUUAGGGAAGAACAAGUGCCGUUCAAAUAGGGCGGCACCUUGACGGUACCUAACCAGAAAGCCCCGGCUAACUACGUGCCAGCAGCCGCGGUAAUACGUAGGGGGCAAGCGUUGUCCGGAAUUAUUGGGCGUAAAGCGCGCGCAGGCGGUCUUUUAAGUCUGAUGUGAAAGCCCACGGCUUAACCGUGGAGGGCCAUUGGAAACUGGAGGACUUGAGUACAGAAGAGGAGAGUGGAAUUCCACGUGUAGCGGUGAAAUGCGUAGAGAUGUGGAGGAACACCAGUGGCGAAGGCGACUCUCUGGUCUGUAACUGACGCUGAGGUGCGAAAGCGUGGGUAGCGAACAGGAUUAGAUACCCUGGUAGUCCACGCCGUAAACGAUGAGUGCUAGGUGUUAGGGGGUUUCCGCCCCUUAGUGCUGCAGUUAACGCAUUAAGCACUCCGCCUGGGGAGUACGGCCGCAAGGCUGAAACUCAAAAGAAUUGACGGGGACCCGCACAAGCGGUGGAGCAUGUGGUUUAAUUCGAAGCAACGCGAAGAACCUUACCAGGUCUUGACAUCCUCUGACA